rnacentral:rRNA from 1 species
GCUAAGCAUAUCAAUAAGCGGAGGAAAAGAAACCAACAGGGAUUGCCCCAGUAACGGCGAGUGAAGCGGCAACAGCUCAAAUUUGAAAUCUGGCCCCUAGGGUCCGAGUUGUAAUUUGUAGAGGAUGCUUUUGGUGAGGUGCCGCCCGAGUUCCCUGGAACGGGACGCCACAGAGGGUGAGAGCCCCGUCUGGCUGGCCACCGAGCCUCUGUAAAGCUCCUUCGACGAGUCGAGUAGUUUGGGAAUGCUGCUCAAAAUGGGAGGUAUAUGUCUUCUAAAGCUAAAUAUUGGCCAGAGACCGAUAGCGCACAAGUAGAGUGAUCGAAAGAUGAAAAGCACCUUGAAAAGAGGGUUAAACAGUACGUGAAAUUGUUGAAAGGGAAGCGCUUGUGACCAGACUUGGGCGCGGCGGAUCAUCCGGGGUUCUCCCCGGUGCACUUCGCCGCGUUCAGGCCAGCAUCAGUUCGGCGCGGGGGAAAAAGGCUUCGGGAACGUGGCUGCUCCGGCAGUGUUAUAGCCCGUUGCAUAAUACCCUGCGCUGGACUGAGGACCGCGCAUCUGCAAGGAUGCUGGCGUAAUGGUCACCAGCGACCCGUCUUGAAACACGGACCAAGGAGUCGUCUUCGUAUGCGAGUGUUCGGGUGUCAAACCCCUACGCGUAAUGAAAGUGAACGCAGGUGAGAGCUUCGGCGCAUCAUCGACCGAUCCUGAUGUUCUCGGAUGGAUUUGAGUAAGAGCAUACGGGGCCGGACCCGAAAGAAGGUGAACUAUGCCUGUAUAGGGUGAAGCCAGAGGAAACUCUGGUGGAGGCUCGCAGCGGUUCUGACGUGCAAAUCGAUCGUCAAAUAUGGGCAUGGGGGCGAAAGACUAAUCGAUC